UACGUAGGUCCCGAGCGUUGUCCGGAUUUAUUGGGCGUAAAGCGAGCGCAGGUGGUUUAUUAAGUCUGGUGUAAAAGGCAGUGACUCAACCAUUGUAUGCAUUGGAAACUGGUAGACUUGAGUGCAGGAGAGGAGAGUGGAAUUCCAUGUGUAGCGGUGAAAUGCGUAGAUAUAUGGAGGAACACCAGUGGCGAAAGCGGCUCUCUGGUCUGUAACUGACGCUGAGGUUCGAAAGCGUGGGUAGCAAACAGG
rnacentral:rRNA from 1 species